AGCGAACGCUGGCGGCAGGCUUAACACAUGCAAGUCGAACGGUCCUUCGGGAUAGUGGCGGACGGGUGAGUAACACGUGGGAACGUACCCUUAGGUUCGGAACAACACAGGGAAACUUGUGCUAAUACCGGAUAAGCCCUUCGGGGGCAAGAUUUAUCGCCUUUGGAGCGGCCCGCGUCUGAUUAGCUUGUUGGUGAGGUAAUGGCUCACCAAGGCUACGAUCAGUAGCUGGUCUGAGAGGAUGGCCAGCCACACUGGGACUGAGACACGGCCCAGACUCCUACGGGAGGCAGCAGUGGGGAAUCUUGCGCAAUGGGCGAAAGCCUGACGCAGCCAUGCCGCGUGGAUGAUGAAGGUCUUAGGAUUGUAAAAUCCUUUCACCGGGGACGAUAAUGACGGUACCCGGAGAAGAAGCCCCGGCUAACUACGUGCCAGCAGCCGCGGUAA
rnacentral:rRNA from 1 species